AUUUGUUUUUUUUUUUCGUGUUUUUGCCAUGCUGAAGUCUGCUUGUCUUCAGUUUAUAAGUUUUUAAUGUUCCUUUGGUUUCUCACGCCUAUUUUGUUUGCAAUUGUUUGUAAAAUACAUUAAUGCUGUACAUAACCCUCUCCCUUAUUAUAUUUUUGGAAUACUUGUAAACAUUAUAGCCAAUUGUUGCUCAUUUUGUCAUCUGUAUAUGUAGGAUAGGGUGUUUUACCUGUUUCUAAUACAGUGUUUUGUUUUCAAA
rnacentral:lncRNA from 1 species